AACUGAGUUUGUUACUGGUAUGAGCUUUCGUGUGCAUGCACACUUCUUCAGGUACUUCAUGUGGUAUCUGAAGAAGUGGGCAUGCAUACGAAAGUUCAUACCAAUAACAAACUUAGUUGG